UGCAUGUAACUAGUUGCCAGCAUUCUAAA
rnacentral:piRNA from 1 species